rnacentral:rRNA from 1 species
GCGGACGGGUGAGUAACGCGUAGGAAUCUGCCCAAUAGUGGGGGAUAGCCCAGAGAAAUUUGGAUUAAUACCUCAUAGUAUUAUAGAUUGGCAUCGAUUUAUAAUUAAACAUUUAUGGGUAAGAGAUGGCUAUGCGUCCUAUUAGUUAGUUGGUAAGGUAACGGCUUACCAAGACAGCGAUAGGUAGGGGUCCUGAGAGGGAGACCCCCCACACUGGUACUGAGACACGGACCAGACUCC